UGAAAGUCAAAAAAAGCCCCAAACUAACGAUACCGAGUAGAAAAUAAAAUAAUAGCUGAAAAAAUUGUUCGAACUGUGUUUUGUUUUCUUGCUUUCUUACUUUCUUGCUUGGCUUCAAUUUACCCUAGAUCUCUCAAACUUUUUGGAGUGUUUG
rnacentral:ribozyme from 12 species